rnacentral:misc_RNA from 1 species
GAUGAAGAACGCAGCAAAAUGCGAUAAGUAGUGUGAAUUGCAGAAUUCAGUGAAUCAUCGAAUCUUUGAACGCACAUUGCGCCCGCCAGCACUCUGGCGGGCAUGCCUGUUCGAGCGUCAUUUCAACCAUCAAGCCCCAGGCUUGCGUUGGAGCCCUGCGGCUGCCGCAGCCUCCUAAAAGCAGUGGCGGGCUCGCUAUCACACCGAGUGCAGUAGAUUACUCUUCGCUCAGGGCGUGCAGCGGGUUCCGGCCGUGAAACCCCCUACUUUUAAAGGUUGACCUCGGAUCAGGUAGGAAUACCCGCUGAACUUAAGCAUAUCAAUAAGCGGAGGA